AUGGCACUGCUGGCCGAGCACCUACUGAAGCCGCUGCCUGGGGACAAGCAGAUCGAGACCGAGCCCUUCCUGGACGCGGUGUCCCACCUGCCGCCCUUCUUCGAUUGCCUGGGCUCGCGGGUGUUCACGCGCAUCAAGGCAGACGUAACGAGCAACAUCUUGAGUAUCAGGGCCGUGUAUGACAGCGACCCAGCCAAGUUCCAGACCCUGCAGCACAUCCUGCAGGAGGAGAAGGAAAUAUACGGGGUGGAGUGGCCCAAAGUGGGGGCCACGCUGUCGCUGAUGUGGUUGAAGAGAGGCCUCCGCUUCAUCCAGGUCUUCCUGCAGAGCAUCUGCGAUGGGGACCGGGACGAGAGCCACCCCGACCUCCUCCGCGUCAACGCCACCAAGGCCUACGAGGUGGCGCUCAAGAGGUACCACGGCUGGAUCGUGCAGAAGUUCUUCCAGGCGGCGCUGCACGCGGCGCCCCGCAGGUCCGACUUCCUGCAGGCGCUGUCCAGGGGGCAGUGCGUGCCCGAGGAGGUGUGUCUGUGCAACAUCCGCCUCUUCCUGGUCAACUUCACCGCCACCGUGGACGCCAUCUACGAGCUGUACGCCUCCAUGAACGCCGACCUCAGCUACAAGGUGUAGGACCCAGCAGGACAGGCACCCAUCUACCGGGUCUGCAGGGGGCUGCCCGAGCAGUCCUAAAAUUUUUUCAGGGAAGGGGGGUAUCCUAAUGUAGCAAUAAAUACCAAUC